rnacentral:rRNA from 1 species
UAGUCCACGCCGUAAACGAUGGUUACUAGCCGUUUGGAUUUCGGUCUGAGUGGUUAAGCGAAAGUGAUAAGUAACCCACCUGGGGAGUACGUUCGCAAGAAUGAAACUCAAAGGAAUUGACGGGGGCCCGCACAAGCGGUGGAGCAUGUGGUUUAAUUCGAUGAUACGCGAGGAACCUUACCAGGGCUUAAAUGUAUGUUGACGUGAUUAGAGAUAGUCAUUUCUCCGGACAGAUUACAAGGUGCUGCAUGGUUGUCGUCAGCUCGUGCCGUGAGGUGUCAGGUUAAGUCCUAUAACGAGCGCAACCCCUGUUGUUAGUUGCCAGCGAGUAAUGUCGGGAACUCUAGCAAGACUGCCGGUGCAAACCGCGAGGAAGGUGGGGAUGACGUCAAAUCAUCACGGCCCUUACGUCCUGGGGCCACACACGUGCUACAAUGGUAGGGUACAGAGAGCAGCCACGUCGCGAGGCGGAGCGAAUCUAUAAAACCUAU